rnacentral:tRNA from 1 species
CGAAAUUGGUAGACGCUACGGACUUCCGUCGACUUUAUAAAUCGUGAGGGUUCAAGUCCCUCUAUCCCCAAAAAA